UAGGGAAUUUUUCACAAUGAGCGAAAGCUUGAUGGAGCAAUGCCGCGUGAACGAUGAAGGUCUUUAAGAUUGUAAAGUUCUUUUAUUUGGGAAGAAUGACUUUAGCAGGUAAUGGCUAGAGUUUGACUGUACCAUUUUGAAUAAGUGACGACUAACUAUGUGCCAGCAGUCGCGGUAAUACAUAGGUCGCAAGCGUUAUCCGGAUUUAUUGGGCGUAAAGCAAGCGCAGGCGGAUUGAAAAGUCUGGUGUUAAAGGCAGCUGCUUAACAGUUGUAUGCAUUGGAAACUAUUAAUCUAGAGUGUGGUAGGGAGUUUUGGAAUUUCAUGUGGAGCGGUGAAAUGCGUAGAUAUAUGAAGGAACACCAGUGGCGAAGGCGAAAACUUAGGCCAUUACUGACGCUUAGGCUUGAAAGUGUGGGGAGCAAAUAGGAUUAGAUACCCUAGUAGUCCACACCGUAACGAUAGAUACUAGCUGUCGGGGCGAUCCCCUCGGUAGUGAAGUUAACACAUUAAGUAUCUCGCCUGGUAGUACAUUCGCAAGAAUG
rnacentral:rRNA from 1 species